rnacentral:rRNA from 1 species
UGGGGAAUUUUGGACAAUGGGCGAAAGCCUGAUCCAGCAAUGCCGCGUGUGUGAAGAAGGCCUUCGGGUUGUAAAGCACUUUUGUCCGGAAAGAAAUCCUUGGUUCUAAUAUAGCCGGGGGAUGACGGUACCGGAAGAAUAAGCACCGGCUAACUACGUGCCAGCAGCCGCGGUAAUACGUAGGGUGCGAGCGUUAAUCGGAAUUACUGGGCGUAAAGCGUGCGCAGGCGGUUUGCUAAGACCGAUGUGAAAUCCCCGGGCUCAACCUGGGAACUGCAUUGGUGACUGGCAGGCUAGAGUAUGGCAGAGGGGGGUAGAAUUCCACGUGUAGCAGUGAAAGUGCGUAGAGAUGUGGAGGAAUACCGAUGGCGAAGGCAGCCCCCUGGGCCAAUACUGACGCUCAUGCACGAAAAGCGUGGGGAGCAAAACAGGAUUAGAUACCCUGGUAGUCCACGCCCUAAAACGAUGUCAACUAGUUGUUGGGGAUUCAUUUCCUUAGUAACGUAGCUAACGCGUGAAGUUGACCGCCUGGGGAGUACGGUCGCAAGAUUAAAAACUCAAAUGAAUUGACGGGGUC